rnacentral:rRNA from 1 species
UACGUAGGUGGCAAGCGUUGUCCGGAAUCAUUGGGCGUAAAGUGCGCGCAGGCGGUCCUUUAAGUCUGAUGUGAAAUCUUGCGGCUCAACCGUAAGCGGUCAUUGGAAACUGGGGGACUUGAGUGCAGGAGAGGAAAGCGGAAUUCCAUGUGUAGCGGUGAAAUGCGUAGAGAUAUGGAGGAACACCAGUGGCGAAGGCGGCUUUCUGGCCUGUAACUGACGCUGAGGCGCGAAAGCGUGGGGAGCAAAC